rnacentral:tRNA from 2 species
GGGCGGUUAGCUCAGGGGUAGAGCGCGUCGUUCACACCGACGAGGUCGCAGGUUCGAAACCUGCACCGCCCACCA